UUUAAAUGAAGACCAGAACAAAYAGAUUAAACGUUUUAAUUAAUAUCUCUAUUUAAAAUUUCAAACUUAUCUUAAAUGUAAAAAGACAUUUAUAUAAAAGAAAGACGACAAGACCCUAUCGAACUUUACUUUAGUUAAACUGGGGCAGUUAAUUAAUUAUCAUCUUAAUAUAAAUAAUAAAAUAAAUGAUCCAAUUCCAUUGCUAAAUUAUCAAGUUACCGUAGGGAUAACAGCAUAAUAAUUUUCAAAAGGCCUUAUAAAAACAACAAUUUAUGACCUCGAUGUUGAAUUAAUUACCUAAUUAACGCAAGAGUUAAUAAAGGAAGUCUGUUCGACUUUUCAAAAAUUACAUGAUUUGAGUUCAGACCGGCUUAAGCCAGGUCGGUUUCUAUCUUCUCCAUACUUCUUACAGUACGAAAGGGCCUAAGAAACUAAUUUAAUUAACUAAUUGGCAGAACAAUGCAUUAGAAUUAGAAUCUAAUAAAUCUUUAAUCCAUUUUACCCUAUCAUUUUUACUAAUAACCAUUAGA
rnacentral:rRNA from 1 species